UAACGCGUGGGUAACCUGCCUCAUACAGGGGGAGUAACAGUUAGAAAUGACUGCUAAUACCGCAUAAGCGCACAGUGCUGCAUGGCACAGUGUGAAAAACUACCGGUGGUAUGAGAUGGACCCGCGUCUGAUUAGCUAGUUGGUGGGGUAACGGCCUACCAAGGCGACGAUCAGUAGCCGGCCUGAGAGGGUGAACGGCCACAUUGGGACUGAGACACGGCCCAAACUCCUACGGGAGGCAGCAUGC
rnacentral:rRNA from 1 species